rnacentral:rRNA from 1 species
GACAGAGGGUGCAAACGUUGUUCGGAUUCAUUGGGCGUAAAGGGUGCGUAGGCGGUCGUGCAAGUCGGAUGUGAAAUCUCAGGGCUCAACCCUGAAACUGCAUUCGAUACUGCGCGGCUAGAGUGCUGGAGGGGAGACUGGAAUUUACGGUGUAGCAGUGAAAUGCGUAGAUAUCGUAAGGAAGACCAGUGGCGAAGGCGAGUCUCUGGACAGCAACUGACGCUGAGGCACGAAGGCCAGGGGAGCAAACGGG